rnacentral:rRNA from 1 species
GACGAACGCUGGCGGCGUGCUUAACACAUGCAAGUCGAACGGAAAGGCCCUGCGUGUGUGGGGUGCUGGAGGGGCGAACGGGGGAGUAACACGUGAGUAACGUGCUCUAGACUUUGGGGUAAGUUCAGGAAAGGGAGGCUAAUAUCGUAUAGGAUAUGCCGUUGCAUGGAGGGGGUGGGAAAGUUGCGGCGGGUGGGGCUGGAUGAGCGGCUUAUGAGCUUGUUGGUGGGGUAGUGGAUGGCCAAGGCUUUGACGGGUAGCCGGCCUUGGAGGGUGGCCGGCCUCCUUGGUCCUGCGGUACGGACCAGACUCCUACGGGAGGCAGCGGUGGGGAAUAUUGCCCAGUGGGCCGACGCCUGUUGCAGCGACGCUGCGUUCGGGAUGCCGGCCUUUGGGUUGUGAACCGCUUUCGCCUGUGACGACGCUUGUGUGACGGUACUGGGUAAAGAAGCACCGGCUAACUACGUG